rnacentral:SRP_RNA from 1 species
CCGUACUAUGCGGGGAGUCAGCGGUGCCUUGUAACCUGCAAUCCGCUACAGCAGGGCAGAUGCCCGACCGAGGUAGGUUUAUUAUAGGUUUAAGAGAAUAUAUUUUGAGGUGUUGACCAUCGGGCUCCGUGCAAUACUAUUCGGCGAACCUCGUCAGGUCCGGAAGGAAGCAGCGAUAAACUGAUAGCAGUAUGUGCCGCGGAUAUACCUGGUGCGAGCUGAUGGUAUAGACUCACUUAUAAUAAAAUAUCGAAGAAGGGCGUACGG